GUCAGGGUGGCGGAACUGGUAGACGCGCUAGAUUCAGGAUCUAGUGAGCAUUAGCUCAUAGGGGUUCAAUUCCCCUCCUUGACACCA
rnacentral:tRNA from 1 species